GGUUUGACCCAGUCAAACCGAGUAUAUAUAUAAUUAAAUAAAUAUUAUAUAAUAUAUAUGUAUAAAAAAAUAUAUUUUAUAUAUACAGGAAAUAGUGUUGUCGUCCCUCUCUCUCUCUAUUUAUCUAUAUCCUUUUCUCUCUCUUCAAACACAAACUCAAAAUAAAAUCCACAAACUACCAUCACCACCACACUUCGGCAACCAACCUCCGACGAUCGCCCGACCCCACGUGCCUGACAGAAUGGAACUCUACGCGGCGACCUCACCCCCUAAGCGCCGCCGCUCCUUUCGCCACCGUUAGCUCGGGAUCGCAAGUCAAAGUUUGGGGUUUCAAACUUUGAACGGAUUUUCCAGUCACCUCCGGCGUCCGUUUGACGAGAGGUUUUCACCACUAAACUCAGCUCGUCGAGGAGAAAAACCUACACUAAACCAUUUUUCCCGGUUCGCUACUUUUUCUGGUGACAUUUUUGUAGCUCCGCCCCUUUCCAGCGACUUUCCGGUGACAUCGUGUACCGUUUUGACAAACGGUUGGCAUGGGUGUGAUCUACUCGUCGAGAUGGUCGUUUUGAUAUAUACUACGCCUAUUUUUGACGACGUUUCCGGUACACCGAUUUUUACCGCCACCGAUUUGUUAAUGUGCACCGCUUAGGGGAGAGUAAUAUGUAAGAUUGGACUAAAACAAUUGGAGCUCGGGACUUGAGAGCUUAAGAUUGUAUUUUGGAUAAAGUUUAACGACUCGGGAGAGGAACUCAGUUUGAUGCUAGUGGAUGAGGAUGGUACCGUUGGGAAAGGAAGUCGUUAUUAGUUUAGUCUUAUUCUACUCUUUAAUCUUUUAAUGAAACUUAUUUUGUAUUUAAGUUGAAAUGGAUGGUCUGGAUGACACAAAUUAGCUAUGUACUAGUUAGAAAUGAGGAAUGAUGGAUGCUAGGUAUUAUUUUGGUAUUUUAUUGACUUAUUUGAUUACAUAACUGUGGGGAUAUUAUUUUUCUUUUAUAUUGAUGAGUGAACCUGAUUUUGUUACUAAUAUUUUCUUAUUAAUACAUGAGUUAAUCCAUUACUUUUAAGCUAGUAUUUUGUGAUAUAAAUUAAAGGAUCAUUUAUAAGCUUUAUCUUACAACAAGGGUCAAAGUGUGACCUUUAACCACCCAAGUUAUGGAUAUUACAUAUCCUCUAGUUUGAAUAACCUUGUAAAAUUACUAUUUUCACAUUAUAAAAACUCCAACUUCUAUAAAUAGUGGAGAAAGAUACUAUUUCACCAAUCGAAUUAGAGAUAAUAUUUUAUAGAAAUGGUAAUCAUAGAAUUUUAUUAAUGUGAGGGGGAAUUAUUGGGUAAAUACUAUUUUGGAUUGUAAAAGUUACUGAUUGGACCCUUUAUUUUGUUAAAUGAUAAAAUGAACCUUGUAUUUUCCAAAAUAAUAAAAAUAAAAGACCUUGAACUUAAUUUUCGAUAAUUUUUUUUUUAAUAUAAUCAACUUGAAAAUAAUUCUUAAUACAAACAGAAAUAGAAAAUAUAGAUCAUUUUGUCAUCACCUCUAGAUCGGAUUAUUAUUAAGUUUUAUUUAAACAAAAAAAAAAAUCAAUUCAGGAUCCUCUUUGUACCAUUUUAAAAGGCAAUAUACUCAUUUGGUUAGUACCUUGUGUUUUUAUGAAAAACAUGUUUGGUACCCUGUGUUUUUAAUAAUACUUAAUUGGUAUCUCAU